rnacentral:rRNA from 1 species
CCUACGGGUGGCUGCAGUGAGGAAUAUUGGUCAAUGGCCGAGAGUCUGAACCAGCCAAGUAGCGUGAAGGAUGACUGCCCUAAGGGUUGUAAACUUCUUUUAUAUGGGAAUAAAAUCAUGCACGUGUGGGUUUUUGUAUGUACCAUAUGAAUAAGGAUCGGCUAACUCCGUGCCAGCAGCCGCGGUAAUACGGAGGAUCCGAGCGUUAUCCGGAUUUAUUGGGUUUAAAGGGUGCGUAGGCGGAUUGUUAAGUCAGUUGUGAAAGGCUGCGGCUCAACCGUAAGAUUGCAGUUGAAACUGGCAGUCUUGAGUACAGUAGAGGUGAGCGGAAUUCGUGGUGUAGCGGUGAAAUGCUUAGAUAUCACGAAGAACUCCGAUUGCGAAGGCAGUUCACUGGACUGCAACUGACACUGAGGCUCGAAAGUGUGGGUAUCAAACAGGAUUAGAUACCCCAGUAGUC